AGACUAGUAGGUCUAAAAACGUGAUGAUUGGGUGUUCACGCGCCUGCGUGAUGUGUGCCUCCCUCAAUCCUUGUUGCGUCUGACU
rnacentral:snoRNA from 1 species